UGCUUCAUGUCAGCCUGAGGA
rnacentral:piRNA from 1 species